AGGGUGACCACGGGCAUUCAGUCGUAUGACACACCGCUCCCACCGGUGAGGCCAAAUCCCCAUACUAUUCAUCCAAAUCUGUGUUCUCUGAAUGACGUGCGGUGAGCUUCAUAGUUGGGUACAGACUCCUGUUUAAAGGCUUCGAUCUACAAAGUUUCCGGGAUGGAUGAGUGAUGUGACUAAUUAGUUCAAGCUUCUAUUCUUGAUUUCUGUUUCUUCUGAAAAUUGGAAGGUUUCCAUGUGGUUUCAGUGAAAUUUAUUGAUUUGAGAUAAGUUUGAUUGAUCUGAAGAAAUUUUUAUUGAUCCCAAGUGACAUAUGAUGGGUGUACUUAGAAUAAUGGAUCUGCUCUCAGUUUUUAUGAGUUCAUUUCAUUGUGCAAGAUUUUCCAGUGAUUACUAUAAAUUUUCAGAUAUAGCAUUGUCAAUCGUCUGACUAUCGCUUGUGAACAUUACAGGCAGAACCAAUAUUCAUGUGCUUGAAAAAGAUCGGACAGUGAAGACUGAAGAACAUGGGGGUGCAAGGGCACAUCCUGUAUUCUUGAUAUAAUUGUAGGAAGUAUGUAAAUAAGGUUUCUCAAAGUGACACUGACAAAGCUUAUGCAUGAGAUGGAGCAUCAUUGUACAUUACUUUGCAGGUUUCAAGCCUUUUGAUGGAAGCUUCUGUAUGUGAUGGAAGCUCCUGUAUGUGGGGCCAUUGAUAAUACAACCUUCCCUAUUCUGUUGUGACUCUUCUUUUUUGUAGAUUUUUCUAUUUACUCUGUAGUUCAAAGCUGCUGCUUUUGUGAAUUUAAUUUGAGAGGCAGGAGAUGUAUUUGUUGGUUAUGUAACUGAAUUUGGACCUCAUAAUCAGCUAUUAAUUUUCUCUCUGGAAAUUUUGAUAGAGAAGAUUAAUAUUCCAAACGUAUUCACAUGAGGUUUUAUGCUCUUUACGGUUCUGCAGCUAUCUCUGCAGGUAUUUUUGUGAUUCAGUUUCAUAGCAUUUAUGCCAUGGCAGCAAGGUGCUGGGUAAAUGGUCCUCUUGACCUAUUCUACCUUGGAAUAAGGUUGGGCCAGAUUUUAUUCAAAUGAACAUUGUAAAGUCUGUACUGUCAUGUUUUAGACAUGUCAAAAUUUCAGACCAAACAAGUUUCCUACUUCUCCCCUUCAUGAACUCUUCAUUUUGUUCCUUAAUAUCAUUUAGUUUUGCCAUUUGUAUUUGUGUGAUUGGUAGAUAAAAGUUUGCAUAGUUGCACUUAGCGUUUAUAGUACUAUAUAUUCAGCUGAUCGUACAAGAACCAUCUUUGUAGCAGAUCCAGGUUUUUAUGUGUCUCCCU
rnacentral:lncRNA from 1 species